UUCUUUUUUUUUCUUUUUUUUUUCUUUUUUUUUUUUAAAUUCACAAGUUUGGGCAUGGUACAUUUUAACAGCUCGCCGUCGACAUGCGUCCUUCUGCAUCACGAUACAACCAUAAUCAUCCUAAUUGACCCAUGCGUCGACAAUCUACCGUACUCACUCCCCGCAUUGUUAAGUUGAUUGCUUUGUAUAGCACGGUAUACCAUAAUUACACUGCAAUAUCAUUAUACGUGUACUUAUUGGAAUAUUAUUUAUUGUUAUUAUUAUUAUUAUAAUUCUGUGAUCCCACGUACGAUAAGUGACAAUUUUGAAAAUAGUGUGUAUGUAGAAUACAUAGGUCGAAAACAGGAACAGCUGUUAGUUAUUAUUACUAAUAUUACUUGACGAUAUUUAAAUACAUGUAGAGAUGUUAGGCUGGUCAGAAUUCAGCAUGAUUCUUUUUUUUUUCUUUAAACUGUGAAAUAAUUUUGGUUGGAAUGCACCGUUUGCUUGGGGGGGGGGGGGUUGGUUGUGUUUUUUUUUCCUACAGUACGAAUGUAAUUGUUUUUUAUGUUUUUUUCUAAAUGAAAUCCUGUUUAGAAGCCAACAAAUACCUAUUUAUUUCGCCCUAGAGAUCUCAUGCGAUGAAGCCCUCGUUAAUCAACCUUACUUCUCUCGGCUGCACUUUUAGACUUCUUUUCUGAGUUUAAAAAAAUGUCGAUUGUUACGAUAAGUUUUCAGCUUGGGGUCACAGAACCAUUCGCCGAGUCCAUAUUUAAUGGGCAUUAUGUAUUUCAAUAUCAGGAUGAUUGCACGCAAAAUGUCAUAAAAUUCCAUUCAAGUUAAUAAUAAUAAUAAUUGUUCAAUCAUAAUAAUAUUGAUGCGCUUAUCCUACUCCCCUCGCCUCCGUUUGGCAACAUUGUCGGGUUGAUGUUCUUGUAUUUUGUCACAAACUCCGGGGUUUUCUUGUCAACUGAGGGACAUUUUACUAUAACACUAUUGAUCCAAGGUCACAUAAUAUUCCUUUCCAUUAAUUUGUCACAAUAAAGUUUGCGAUUGAGAAGGCAGAGUAAGCACGAGCCAGAAGACAUGUUUCUUCAUUUUACGCGCUUUUCUUUCGAAUAUCUUUUGGGCUUAAAAUACUAUUCAAAGUGGCCACGGUACCUUUUCAGGUCAUUGGUUCGUAUAACUUAACUUAAGUGGCAUAUUUACGUAAUCUUUUAUUUCUAAAAGUAGUUUCUCGCUUUGGGUUUUUUUAGGGGGGAUAAGGUUGUAGUUUGUUUUUUCUUCGGGGUAAAACAGUUAAUUUUCUUUUUGAGUUCUAGAAGAUAUUGAUGACGUUCUGCAUAAUAAUAUAUUUAUUAUGUGUAUGCUAUGACAAUAAUAUUAUUGUGGUAGAUGACUAGUAGUACCCUAUGUUGUUAGUACCUUUUAGUGCGUUGGUAAAAAAGUAAAUAGUUGACAAUGGUUUCCGCAUACAUUGCCAUGCGAUCUGGAAUUCUAUGAUGAUGUAUUUAUUAUUAUCGUUUGUGUUUGCUUUGUUCAAAGUAUUAUUUAUUGCUGUUUGUUUCCGUGAGAAAACUUUAUUUUUGAAGAAUAAAGGAACUGAAAGCAGUUUGGUGGCUUGUUUUACGAACGAAAAUUUGUUUUUCUUUUGCUUCUUUUCUUGUUUCUUUUUUUUUAACACUACAAAACUUAUGGUGUUGGAAAUCCGCGUGACCACGCUUUCCCCUUAGACAAUUUUGUGUAUCUGCUACUGUGUGUGUGUUUGUGUGUUUGUUUCUGGGUGUUUAUAUGUUUGUGUGCGCAAUUAUUGUGAGUGUUUGUGAGCGUGUGUGCACAGAGAGAUGGUCAUGCUCAAAAGGUAGAAAUAGUGAUGUUACAGAGGUAGGGAUUGUGGUGCUCAAAAGGUAGAGAUGAUUGUGCUAAAGAGGUAGAGAUAGUGAUGCUCAGGGACGCAAUGAAAUUCGAUGCAGAUCUAUAUAAUUAUCAUUUUAUUAUAUCAAUUAUUAACAUAGGAUAAGAAUCAGUGAGGGCAGAGAUAAAACAUUUUCAUGCAACAAUUCGAAACUCAUUCUCCUAACAAACUGUUUAGUGGUAAUUGUUUUGUUUGUUUGUUUGGGUUUUGUUUUUGUUUUUUAUGUUGUUGUUUUUUUUUGCAUAUUCCUCUUUCAGGCUGCUCCAGUGUUUAAGUUUCAGUGUGUCUCUUUCUCAGCUGAGCAUACUGGCCAGCUUCAACGGCAUUUAUUUUUACACUCGUGUCACGCACCGUCAAGCGCUAACACAAGGUCUCGCGUUCGUAGUAGCGAGUGUUCGAUGUCUCUACAACUGCCUGAUUUAGCCAUAUCAAUACUAACGGGGGUGAGUUUGGGAUCAGCUUCUCCGACAGGUAACUGUUUUAAGACCAGAGGGCGAAUUCGAGAUCUCCCGAUGCUCAGGAGGUAGAGAUGGUGAUGUUAUAGAGGUAGAGAUGGUGAUGUUAGAGGGAUGGAGAUGUUACAGAGGUAGAGAUGGUGAUGUUACAGAGGUAGAGAUGGUGAUGUUACAGAGGUAGAGAUGGUGAUGUUACAGAGGUAGAGAUGGUGAUGUUACAGAGGUAGAGAUGGUGAUGUUACAGAGGUAGAGAUGGUGAUGCUCAAAAGGUAGUGAUGGUGUUUAUGGGCGGAGACAACAGGUACUAUAACAUUGUUAUUGCUUUGGUGGUCAUGAGGGACAUCAAUGGUGAUGCCACGCACCACCACCCCCACGCGCACACACACACACACACACACACACACACACACACACACACACACACACACAAACACUGAAGAAUGGGCAUGGUGACCCCACCUCCAUCCCGUAUUAAGAUAUCAAUAAAUACCGUAGCAUGUUUUAUAUAACCCUCUAUCCCGUUAGGAAAUAAGCUCUUUGCGCUGUAAAAUCAUUUAAAAUAGAUAAAACACAGACACCAAAAAAAUGUAUUUGCAAAAAGAAAAAGAAUUACAGUACGCUAUUCAUGAUCUUAAAAGAUGGGUUUUAAGGAUUUUUAAGAGACUCGGUAUGUUCUAUUUCUCUCAUGUUCUUCUUCUUUUUUUUGGGGGGGGGGGGGUGUUUCAAGUUUAUGCCCAACAAUACGUGCAAAACAUAUUUCGCCAAAUCACUUGGAUUUCAACUUGGGUAUUCUUGAUUUGGUAGUGUGAGCUGAUGACAAAAAGGCAUCGAAGGUGCAGUAAGUAGCUGUUUGGAGUCAUCACAAAAAAAAUUGAACUGAGUUAAGUUUUACGACUCGUCCAAACGAUAAGGGCGGAAAAGGUUUCCGUUUGAAAACUUUCAAUAUUGGUAUAUGCAUUAUAUCUGAGCCAUCAUUCAGAUUGCUUAAAUUGGAUACAUCUCAUCAUUUGAUCUCAGUUUUCUAUUCACAAAUUGUUCAUUGUCGGCCGGACAGAGAAGAUCGGAACAACACUUUUUAUGCAUAAUAAAUUAGACUGUUUUGUUUUUGCGAAGUUUUCUGAUUUUUUUCUGAAUUAUAAUUUACCUCUAAUUAGAACAACAAAGGUCAAAUUGCACCUUAGACAGCUUGGGACAAAUCUGAAAAGGAUAAGAGACAAGAUGCCACACUAAAGCGCCCACCAAACCCUUUAGACUCGAAUCUUACUGCGUAUGUUGAACAGAGAAUAGUCUACAUAUUUGGCGAGUGGUUUAAUCAACCCCCUCUAGAGAAUCCCAUCCAAACUGGCAUUUAAUUUUGACCCUGGGUCAGUCAGACAAGCGAGAGGAAGAAUCGAGUUUGAAGAAUUCCCGGAAGAGGAUCCUGGCGCCAAUGUUGGCAAUGAGUUGCCCGGUACAAGCCGGGAGAGACAGCCAAAAGCGCAGGACAUGGCUAGCCACUCAAAAGCGGACAUAUUAUGCACAUGGAUAGGGUGUACU